CGGUAAAAUGCGCAGAGAUCGGCAAGGACACCAAUGCCGAAGGCAGCUCCCUGGGGCAACCCUGACGCUAAGAGACGCAAGCUAGGGGAGCGAACAGGAUUAGAGACCCUGGUAGUCCUAGCCCUAAUCGAUGGAUGCUGGAUGUCGGGUCCAUAGCGCUCCUGUGUCGAAGCGUACGCGUUAAGCAUCCCGCCUGGGGACUACGACCGCAAGGUUAAAACUCUAAACGAAUUGACGGGACCCCGCACAACCAGCGGAGCGUCUGGUUUAAUUAGAUGCUACACGAAGAACCUUACCUGGGUUUGACAUCUAGCUGGUAGUGAAGCGAAAGCGGAGCGACCCUUCGGGGAGCCUAGACAGGUCCUGCAUGACUGUCGUCAGUCUCGUACCAUGAGGUGUCGGAUUAAGUCCCGUAACGAGCGCUACCCUUGCCCUCCCUUAUAUGUGUCAGAGGGGACUGCCGGCGGUAAGCCGGAGGAAGGUGGGGAUGAUGUCAAGUCAGCAUGGCCUUUAUAUUCAGGGCUACAUACUAAGUUACAAUGGCCAGUACAAUGGUCACCGAACCCGUGAGGUGGAUCGAAUCCCAGCAAAGCUGCUCGUAGUUCGGCUUGCAGACUGCAACCCGCAUGCAUGAAGCUGGAGUUGUUAGUAACCGCGCGUCAGCCAUAGUGCGCCGAUACGUUCCCGGGGUUCGUACACACCG
rnacentral:rRNA from 1 species